rnacentral:misc_RNA from 1 species
UCCGGCUUGUCACCGGCAGUUUCUUCAGAGUGCCCGGCCUAACCGCUGGCAACUGAAGAUGGGGGUUGCGCUCGUUGCGGGACUUAACCCAACAUCUCACGUCACGAGCUGACGACAGCCAUGCAGCACCUGUGUUCCCGCCAGCCGAACUGAAGGAUGGGGUCUCCCCCACCCAUACGGGACAUGUCAAGGGCUGGUAAGGUUCUUCGCGUUGCGUCGAAUUAAACCACAUGCUCCACCGCUUGUGCGGGCCCCCGUCAAUUCCUUUGAGUUUUAACCCUGCGGCCGUACUCCCCAGGCGGUGUGCUUACCGCGUUAGCUCCGGCACAGACCAAAUGAAUGGCCCACACCAAAUAUGCAUCGUUUACGGCGUGGACUAC